rnacentral:rRNA from 1 species
GACGAACGCUGGCGGCGUGCCUAAUACAUGCAAGUCGAGCGAAGUUUUUCUGGUGCUUGCACUAGAAAAACUUAGCGGCGAACGGGUGAGUAACACGUAAAGAACCUGCCUCAUAGACUGGGACAACUAUUGGAAACGAUAGCUAAUACCGGAUAACAGUAUUUCUCGCAUGAGAGAUAUUUAAAAGUUGGUUAUGCUAACACUAUGAGAUGGCUUUGCGGUGCAUUAGCUAGUUGGUGGGGUAAAGGCCUACCAAGGCGACGAUGCAUAGCCGACCUGAGAGGGUGAUCGGCCACACUGGGACUGAGACACGGCCCAGACUCCUACGGGAGGCAGCAGUAGGGAAUCUUCCGCAAUGGGCGAAAGCCUGACGGAGCAACGCCGCGUGAGUGAAGAAGGAUUUCGGUUCGUAAAGCUCUGUUGUUAGGGAAGAAUGGAUAUGUAGUAACUAUACAUGUACGAGACGGUACCUAACCAGAAAGCCACGGCUAACUACGUGCCAGCAGCCGCGGUAAUACGUAGGUGGCAAGCGUUGUCCGGAAUUAUUGGGCGUAAAGCGCGCGCAGGUGGUUUAAUAAGUCUGAUGUGAAAGCCCACGGCUCAACCGUGGAGGGUCAUUGGAAACUGUUAAACUUGAGUGCAGGAGAGAAAAGUGGAAUUCCUAGUGUAGCGGUGAAAUGCGUAGAGAUUAGGAGGAACACCAGUGGCGAAGGCGGCUUUUUGGCCUGUAACUGACACUGAGGCGCGAAAGCGUGGGGAGCAAACAGG